rnacentral:rRNA from 1 species
AGAACGAACGCUGGCGGCAGGCCUAACACAUGCAAGUCGAACGCUGUAGCAAUACAGAGUGGCAGACGGGUGAGUAACGCGUGGGAACAUGCCCUUCGGUUCGGAAUAACUCAGGGAAACUUGAGCUAAUACCGGAUACGCCCUUAGGGGGAAAGAUUUAUUGCCGAAGGAUUGGCCCGCGUCCGAUUAGCUAGUUGGUGAGGUAAUGGCUCACCAAGGCGACGAUCGGUAGCUGGUCUGAGAGGAUGAUCAGCCACACUGGGACUGAGACACGGCCCAGACUCCUACGGGAGGCAGCAGUGGGGAAUAUUGGACAAUGGGCGCAAGCCUGAUCCAAGCCAUGCCGCGUGAGUGAUGAAGGCCCUAGGGUUGUAAAGCUCUUUCGCCAGGGACGAUAAUGACGGUACCUGGAUAAGAAGCCCCGGCUAACUUCGUGCCAGCAGCCGC